ensembl:snRNA LOC120102117 U12 minor spliceosomal RNA
GUGCCUUAAACUUAUGAGUAGGGAAAAUAACGAUUCGGGGUGAUGCCCCAGUCCUCACUGCUUAUGUGAGACGAGUUUUUGAGUGGGUAAAGGUUGCUAUCUAAGGCGACCCGCCUACUUUGCGGGAUGCCUAAGUAAUGCGAUCUGCCCA